GAAGGCGGGAUAUUUAAGCUGUCAUGGCCUGCCCACUGUUUUUAUUUGGCCUGCUGCCACACAUGUAGCGUUUCAGAGGGAAGCUAACCUGCAAAACGCCAGUUCUGGGAAGAAAUCAUCGUCGUGCUCUUCACUGUUCGGGUUAGCUGUCGGCCUCAAACUUUCACUUCAGGCUAAGAAACGGAGAUUGUUUCUGCGGUCUACAAACAUUUCACAUCUCUUCACUUCGGCAAAGCUAAGUGCCUGUUGUUUUUUUGUGACUUCGAUUUGAAAGAGAGAAACGCAUGCAUGCAAGCACGAGGCAGACACAGACUACAACAGGACAACGUGGAGAGGCAACAGGACGUCCAGUGUCCCAUCAUCCAUCCUGUUCUGUCAUCCAGAUUUGAUUCUUCCAUUGGAUUCUCCUUCAUGUGGAUCUCAGAUAAACAAAACAAAAGAGGCCUCUAACAUUUAAAGAAAAAAAUUACUAUCCGGGUAGAUGCGGACAGUGAAAUGUUUUUUUUUUUCUUGAAUUGAACUGAACUAAACGGGGGUUUUGCAAAUUUGUCUUUUAAUUUGGGAGGGAAUUUUGUGAUCUCAUUGGAAUGUGUACGAUAUACAGUUAAACUGAGAGACUAGAGUGUCUUAUUGUGUUCCUUUAUGUCUGUGAAAUAAAUGCCGGCCAUUAUUAUUUUCUAAGAAAAGUGAUCAGUGAUCAGGAUCAGCUAUCAUUCAUGCCUAAAGCUGUUACAAUACUACAUACUAUACCUUAUACAGUACAUAUGGCAUACUGCGGUUGCCAGUACUAUGUAGUAGGCGGUUCCGAAUACAGCCAUAGUUUACACUAAUACCCCUGAGUCCAAUCUUAGACCCUUUUAAUGUAGUAUUCAAUUCCCUUUGCAGAUUUAUUUUGAACUGUCCAUUUAAAACCCAUCAUUGUCUUAUGUAUGACUCAAUAAACUAGUUGCAACCUAAACCAUGAAGGGAUUACCACAGGUCUCUGUUCAUAUUUAAAUGUUUUUAUUCCAGCUGUCCUGCAUACCUUAAACAGUAUUUAAUUCCUGAUCGCUCGACAUACUCACUUAGGCACCUCCAAAUUCCAACAUUUUUUACAGUACAAAGGUUAUUUUCUGUAGCUGGUUGGAGAGCAGGUCAAUAUAAACCCCAAGACUGGAAUAACCUUCCUCUUUUCUUGAGAUCUAUUUCCACUUUUGGUUUAUUCAAAUCACUUUUGCAGCCAGGGUACAAACAGGGUACCAAUGGUAUUGCAUAUAAAUAGUUUAUGUGGAAAAUAUGCAGUAGUUUGAAUAUAAUCAUGGCUUUCUUUAUUUUGUUUUUCUUUAUCUUGACUUUCUUUGGACAUUUCUAUGUUAGAUGUGACUUUAUCCUGUAUGUUACAUUUGUGAUAGUUGUAUGUUACAUUUGCAUUAGUUUAAUGCACUCUGCUGAUUAUUUUGUCUAUGUACUUCAAAUUGUUUGCUAUGUUAAUGUAGUGGUAUGGGCAGGUGAGCGAGUUAUUUUUUUGUGUAUAUAUACUGUGUGGUCAACCUUUGUGUCUGUACUGUGUACUGUCCUGAAAUAAAUUCAAAUCUAAAUAGAAAUUCAAAAA